rnacentral:rRNA from 1 species
AUUGAACGCUGGCGGCAUGCCUUACACAUGCAAGUCGAACGGUAACGGGCCUUCGGGUGCCGACGAGUGGCGAACGGGUGAGUAAUGUAUCGGAACGUACCUUUCAGUGGGGGAUAACGUAGCGAAAGUUACGCUAAUACCGCAUAUUCUGUGAGCAGGAAAGCAGGGGAUCGCAAGACCUUGCGCUGAUUGAGCGGCCGAUAUCAGAUUAGCUAGUUGGUGAGGUAAAGGCUCACCAAGGCGACGAUCUGUAGCGGGUCUGAGAGGAUGAUCCGCCACACUGGAACGGAGACACGGUCCAGACUCCUACGGGAGGCAGCAGUGGGGAAUUUUGGACCAUGGGGGCAACCCUGAUCCAGCCAUGCCGCGUGAGUGAAGAAGGCCUUCGGGUUGUAAAGCUCUUUCGGCCGGGAAGAAAUCGUAUCAGCUAAUACCUGGUGCGGAUGACGGUACCGGCAUAAGAAGCACCGGCUAACUACGUGCCAGCAGCCGCCGUAAGAC